rnacentral:rRNA from 1 species
CGAGGCUGAAAAGCGUAGUCGAUGGGAAACGGGUUAAUAUUCCCGUACUUGGAUAAACUGCGAUGUGGGGACGGAGAAGGUUAGGUGAGCAAUCUGUUGGAUAUGAUUGUUUAAACUGGUAGGUGGAGGACUUAGGCAAAUCCGGGUCUUCUUAACACCGAGAAGUGAUGACGAGUCUCUACGGAGAUGAAGUUACCGAUACCACGCUUCCAGGAAAAGCCACUAAGCUUCAGGUUUAUCUAAACCGUACUAUAAACCGACACAGGUGGUCAGGUAGAGAAUACUCAGGCGCUUGAGAGAACUCGGGUGAAGGAACUAGGC